AUUGAACGCUGGCGGCAGGCCUAACACAUGCAAGUCGAGCGGAUGAAGGGGGCCUGCUCCUGGAUUCAGCGGCGGACGGGUGAGUAAUGCCUAGGAAUCUGCCUGGUAGUGGGGGAUAACGUCCGGAAACGGGCGCUAAUACCGCAUACGUCCUGAGGGAGAAAGUGGGGGAUCUUCGGACCUCACGCUAUCAGAUGAGCCUAGGUCGGAUUAGCUAGUUGGUGGGGUAAAGGCCUACCAAGGCGACGAUCCGUAACUGGUCUGAGAGGAUGAUCAGUCACACUGGAACUGAGACACGGUCCAGACUCCUACGGGAGGCAGCAGUGGGGAAUAUUGGACAAUGGGCGAAAGCCUGAUCCAGCCAUGCCGCGUGUGUGAAGAAGGUCUUCGGAUUGUAAAGCACUUUAAGUUGGGAGGAAGGGCAGUAAGUUAAUACCUUGCUGUUUUGACGUUACCAACAGAAUAAGCACCGGCUAACUUCGUG
rnacentral:rRNA from 1 species